rnacentral:rRNA from 1 species
GCCGAACGCUGUCGGCAGGCCUAACACAUGCAAGUCGAGCGAGCGGCGGACGGGUGAGUAAUGUCUGGGUACUGCCCGAUAGUUGGGGAUAACUACUGGAAACGGUCGCUCAUACCGCCUACUUUCAGAUAACCCCUAUGGGAUUAGCUAGUAGGUAAGGUAACGGCUGACCUAGUCGACGAUCCCUAGCUGGUCUGAGAGGAUGAUCAGCCAAACGGGGACGGAGACACGGCCCAGAGUCCUACGGAGGCAGCAGUGGGGAAUAUUGCACAAUGGGCGCAAGCCUGAUGCAGCCAUGCCGCGUGUAUGAAGAAGGCCUUAGGGUUGUAAAGUACGUUCAGUCGGGAGGCGUUACCGACAGAAGAAGAACCGGCUAACUCCGUGCCAGCAGCCGCGGUAAUAC